rnacentral:rRNA from 1 species
AGUCGAGCGAAUGGAUUAAGAGCUUGCUCUUAUGAAGUUAGCGGCGGACGGGUGAGUAACACGUGGGUAACCUGCCCAUAAGACUGGGAUAACUCCGGGAAACCGGGGCUAAUACCGGAUAACAUUUUGAACCGCAUGGUUCGAAAUUGAAAGGCGGCUUCGGCUGUCACUUAUGGAUGGACCCGCGUCGCAUUAGCUAGUUGGUGAGGUAACGGCUCACCAAGGCAACAAUGCGUAGCCGACCUGAGAGGGUGAUCGGCCACACUGGGACUGAAACACGGCCCAGACUCCUACGGGAGGCAGCAGUAGGGAAUCUUCCGCAAUGGACGAAAGUCUGACGGAGCAACGCCGCGUGAGUAAUGAAGGCUUUCGGGUCGUAAAACUCUGUUGUUAGGGAAGAACAAGUGCUAGUUGAAUAAGCUGGCACCUUGACGGUACCUAACCAGAAAGCCACGGCUAACUACGUGCCAACAGCCGCGGUAAUACAUAUGUGGCAAGCGUUAUCCGGAAUUAUUGGGCGUUAAGCGCGCGCAGGUGGUUUCUUAACUCUGAUGUGAAAUCCCACGGUUCACCCGUGGAGGGUUAUUGGAAACUGGUAGA